AGUGAACGCUGGCGGCGUGCCUAACACAUGCAAGUCGAACGAGAACGGGUUUAAGUUUACUUAAACUGUCAGCUAAGUGGCGCACGGGUGAGUAAUGUAUAGUUAACGCCCUCUAGAAAGGAAUAACAGUUAGAAAUGACUGCUAAUGCCUAUAUGCCUUUUUAACAUAAGUUAGUAAAGGGAAAUGCUUUUUGUGCUAGAGGAUGGGACUGUAUAGUAUCAGAUAGUUGGUGGGGUAAUGGCCUACCAAGUCAAUGACGCUUAACUGGUUUGAGAGGACGAUCAGUCACACUGGAACUGAGACCCGGUCCAGACUCCUACGGGAGGCAGCAGUGGGGAAUAUUGCACCAUGGAUGAAAGUCUGAUGCAGCAACGCCGCGUGGAGGAUGACACAUUUCGGUGCGUAAACUCCUUUUAUAUAGGAAGAUAAUGACGGUACUAUAUGAAUAAGCACCGGCUAACUCCGUGCCAGCAGCCGCGGUAAUACGGAGGGUGCAAGCGUUACUCGGAAUCACUGGGAGUAAAGAGCAUGUAGGCGGAUUGAUAAGUUUGAAGAGAAAUCCUAUAGCUUAACUAUAGAACUGCUUUGAAAACUGUUAAUCUAGAAUAUGGGAGAGGUAGAUGGAAUUUCUGGUGUAGGGGUAAAAUCCGUAGAGAUCAGAAGGAAUACCGAUUGCGAAGGCGAUAUACUGGAACAUUAUUGACGCUCAGAUGCGAAAGCGUGGGGAGCAAACAGG
rnacentral:rRNA from 1 species